GAUGAACGCUGGCGGCGUGCCUAAUACAUGCAAGUCGAGCGAACAGACGAGGAGCUUGCUCCUCUGACGUUAGCGGCGGACGGGUGAGUAACACGUGGAUAACCUACCUAUAAGACUGGGAUAACUUCGGGAAACCGGAGCUAAUACCGGAUAAUAUAUUGAACCGCAUGGUUCAAUAGUGAAAGACGGUUUUGCUGUCACUUAUAGAUGGAUCCGCGCCGCAUUAGCUAGUUGGUAAGGUAACGGCUUACCAAGGCAACGAUGCGUAGCCGACCUGAGAGGGUGAUCGGCCACACUGGAUCGGAGACACGGUCCAGACUCCUACGGGAGGCAGCAGUAGGGAAUCUUCCGCAAUGGGCGAAAGCUUGACGGAGCAACGCCGCGUGAGUGAUGAAGGUCUUCGGAUCGUAAAACUCUGUUAUUAGGGAAGAACAAAUGUGUAAGUAACUAUGCACGUCUUGACGGUACCUAAUCAGAAAGCCACGGCUAACUACGUG
rnacentral:rRNA from 1 species